GGAGGCGGUGCAGUCUGGUAUGCUCUGUUUGUCAGUAUCUCUGCAGAACCCCUGGCUUCCGGGGUGAAGCUGUGCAGAGCUGUGUGAUUGAAGCUGCCAGACAGGCUUUCGGCCUCUGACUGACCACAGGCCCAGCAUGCUAACUCACCCCGACUUACAGACACCUGAAGACAGGAAGUUCAUCCAGGCUUGAGAAACUCUUCUUGCAUGCAUGUCUCAGUGUGAAGGUUAAAUGGGCUGAUCAUCUCAUGUUAGUGCAAAGCCAAUAAAAAGUGAUCAUCUGAUAA